rnacentral:rRNA from 1 species
UGGGGAAUAUUGCACAAUGGGCGCAGGCCUGAUGCAGCCAUGCCGCGUGUGUGAAGAAGGCCUUCGGGUUGUAAAGCACUUUCAGCGAGGAGGAAGGGUAGUGUGUUAAUAGCACAUUGCAUUGACGUUACUCGCAGAAGAAGCACCGGCUAACUCCGUGCCAGCAGCCGCGGUAAUACGGAGGGUGCAAGCGUUAAUCGGAAUUACUGGGCGUAAAGCGCACGCAGGCGGUUUGUUAAGUCAGAUGUGAAAUCCCCGCGCUUAACGUGGAACUGCAUUU